GAUGAACGCUGGCGGCGUGCCUAAUACAUGCAAGUCGAGCGAACAGACGAGGAGCUUGCUCCUCUGACGUUAGCGGCGGACGGGUGAGUAACACGUGGAUAACCUACCUAUAAGACUGGGAUAACUUCGGGAAACCGGAGCUAAUACCGGAUAAUAUAUUGAACCGCAUGGUUCAAUAGUGAAAGACGGUUUUGCUGUCACUUAUAGAUGGAUCCGCGCCGCAUUAGCUAGUUGGUAAGGUAACGGCUUACCAAGGCAACGAUGCGUAGCCGACCUGAGAGGAUGAUCGGCCACACUAGACCUGAGACACGGUCCAGACUCCUACGGGAGGCAGCAGUAGGGAAUCUUCCGCAAUGGGCGAAAGCCUGACGGAGCAACGCCGCGUGAGUGAUGAAGGUCUUCGGAUCGUAAAACUCUGUUAUUAGGGAAGAACAAAUGUGUAAGUAACUAUGCACGUCUUGACGGUACCUAAUCAGAAAGCCACGGCUAACUACGUG
rnacentral:rRNA from 1 species